AAGCCCAACAUUAAUCGCUCCACUUGGGCCUUCUUCAGCCCACACGACAAGCAACCACUUCGGCUUCCCCUUCCUCUUUGCUUCUCCCUCUACUCGAGACGUUCUGGUAAAGUUGUAAACUCGGUCGAAGAUUUAAUAAUUUCCCAGGAAUCUCAAACGGAGAUCAAAGCGCUUUCAAAUCUGACAUACGUACCAGUUUACAUUGCUUUUGUGGUGUUGGCAAUGGCAACAAUUGAAUAUGGUACAGGUCAGCCAUGUAAGAGUGUUAGUGCUGCUAAGAUGCAGGGUUCGAUUUCCUCGUUCAAACGAUGGGGUCAAAGCACACGUGUGUUAGAUAUGGUCUUCCUAUGAUUUCACUUGCUGUGUUUGAGACUUUUGGCCCUUCUCAUCUCUUGCAGGGGAGGAUUUUGUAGUUCAGCAAGGAUAUUGGCAUAUUGCUAAGGUGAAGAAUGAUGAAGAGUGGGAAAUCAUAGAGACAAGAAAGGCAUUAUCGAGAACUGGGCCAAUAGAUGCAUACAAGUCAAAGAAGAUUUCACUGGAGGAAGAGCUAAAGGCUUUGCAGAAGAAGGUGGACAUAAACAAUUAAUAUUAUGAGUACAAGAAAAUUCUCAGGCCAAAUGAAGGCAAGUUGGCCUAGUUUUAGGCACAUAGUUCAGUUCCUUGUUUUGUCACUAGUACUGUAUAACAAAAUGAGUUCUCUAGGGGGGGGGGGAGAGAGAGAGAGAGAGAGAGAGAGAGAGAGAGAGAGAGGAGAGUUUGUGAAAAGAAUUCAGAGCAUAUGAAAUAUAUAUAUUAGGAGAAGAGUUCACCCCAACCAUUUCACAAUUACAUGCUUAUACCCAGUUAUCCCAAGAGAAAAACCAUUUCUCCUUAUGUACACCACCCCAACAGCACAAAAAAAAAAAA